UACGUAGGGUGCAAGCGUUAUCCGGAAUUAUUGGGCGUAAAGCGCUCGUAGGCGGUUUGUCGCGUCUGCUGUGAAAACUGGGGGCUCAACCCCCAGCCUGCAGUGGGUACGGGCAGACUAGAGUGCGGUAGGGGAGAUUGGAAUUCCUGGUGUAGCGGUGAAAUGCGCAGAUAUCAGGAGGAACACCAAUUGCGAAGGCAGCACUCUGGGACGUGACUGACGCUGAGACGCGAAAGCGUGGGGAGCAAACAGG
rnacentral:rRNA from 1 species